AUUGAACGCUGGCGGCAGGCCUAACACAUGCAAGUCGAGCGGAUGAAGGGAGCUUGCUCCUGGAUUCAGCGGCGGACGGGUGAGUAAUGCCUAGGAAUCUGCCUGGUAGUGGGGGAUAACGUCCGGAAACGGGCGCUAAUACCGCAUACGUCCUGAGGGAGAAAGUGGGGGAUCUUCGGACCUCACGCUAUCAGAUGAGCCUAGGUCGGAUUAGCUAGUUGGUGGGGUAAAGGCCUACCAAGGCGACGAUCCGUAACUGGUCUGAGAGGAUGAUCAGUCACACUGGAACUGAGAAACGGUCCAGACUCCUACGGGAGGCAGCAGUGGGGAAUAUUGGACAAUGGGCGAAAGCCUGAUCCAGCCAUGCCGCGUGUGUGAAGAAGGUCUUCGGAUUGUAAAGCACUUUAAGUUGGGAGGAAGGGCAGUAAGUUAAUACCUUGCUGUUUUGACGUUACCAACAGAAUAAGCACCGGCUAACUGCGU
rnacentral:rRNA from 1 species